CCUCUGGUAUUUGUGUGCUCAGAGUUUCACAUGGAGCACUUCAACACAAUGUGGCUGCUUGGGGGAGCGGGAGGAACAGCACACUUUUAACAAGUGUCCUUGAGGCAGAACAACAGGAAGGCACAUUGCCACGCAUCAGCCUUUAUUUAUGCAUAUGUAGUGCAAGUUUAGGGACGAGGAGCUCAGAGGAUGGAGAAAGGCAUAUGGUGGUUAUGUAUCCACCCUGGCAGAGCAGGUAAUGGGCAGCAGGACAUCUAAGACCCACCUCACUGAAAACUGAAACGCAAGAGGAGGGAGCUCUGCAGGAGGAAAUCUGCUGCAUUACCUAUGAACAGGACAAUGGCCCCCAAUGAGUCACCCUAUUCAUAUAUUUUUGGAACCCAGAGGAAUUGGUUUGACUAUUUACAGAUUAUAACAGUUGGUAGUUGAAUGUUUUAUUUUCAUUCCCAGUUGGUACAAUAUGUUCACAGCUGAUGCUAAUGGCUUGCCCAUUUGAUAUCACAUAUGGUCCACUAUUUGGGUCUCCUAAAGCUUUCUUUUGUGGUCAGGCUGCUUUAAAACUUUCAUAUAUUUAGGUUUGUUUUGUCUGCUGGAAAGGUGACUAAGAAACUCUGAAACUUGGCAGCUUUAGAGUAAAUCAGCAAUUCUGUUGAUAAAGAUUCAAAGAAUUUGUGACUAAAUGUCCAGUAAAGAAUAUUUUUAUAUAAAAAUGCCUUACAGCAUCAUGUGAAAUUUUAAAAGAAAUGUCCUUUCCUUGUCUUUGAAGCUGUGAUUGACUUACCUUCCAAUGUAUUGGCACCAUUGAGCAUCAUCAGGACUACUUUUUCUGGGUGUUCUGUUGCACUGGAAAACAAUUUAUGCAUAAUUUGUAUUGCUUAAAUCACUAUUUAUAUUUCUAUUUGAAUAUUAAUGU